UGGUGAAAAAUUCUUCGGUAACUUUCCGUAUCCUUACAUGAAUGGAUUGCUUCAUUUGGGACAUGGGUUCUCCUUGUCCAAGCUUGAGUUUGGUGCUGCAUACCACAGACUCCGUGGCUCGAAUGUUCUAUUGCCAUUUGCUUUCCACUGUACUGGGAUGCCAAUCAAGGCCUCAGCUGAUAAGCUGGCCAGGGAGAUAUGACAGUAUGGAAACCCUCCAGUGUUUCCUCAAGCAGAGAAUAAUUCAAGCGCUGAAGUGGCAGAUGAUAGAGAAGUUGAGCAGGCUGCUGCCGUUACCCCAGAUAAAUUUAAGAGCAAGAAAUCUAAGGCUGCUGCAAAAACUGGCAUGCAGAAGUUCCAAUGGGAGAUCAUGAAGAGCUUUGGCCUGUUAGAUGAAGAAAUUGUCAAACUUCAAGAUCCUUAUCACUGGUUGACCUACUUCCCUCCGUUGGCGGAGAAAGACCUGAAGGACUUUGGCCUAGGUUGUGAUUGGAGGCGUUCAUUCAUAGCCACCGACAUGAAUCCUUUCUAUGAUGCUUUUGUUCGAUGGCAGAUGAGAAAGCUCAAGAAAAUGGGCAAAGUUGUGAAGGACAAGAGGUACACAAUCUACUCGCCAUUGGAUGGCCAACCUUGUGCCGACCAUGACAGGGCAACAGGUGAAGAUGCACAGCCACAAGAAUAUGUACUGAUUAAAAUGGAGCUGAUUCCACCUUUUCCCCCAAAGUUGAAGGUCUUGGAAGGAAAAAAUGUUUAUUUGGCAGCAGCUACAUUGAGACCAGAGACAAUGUAUGGCCAAACAAACUGCUGGGUGCUGCCUCAUGGCAAUUAUGGGGCUUUUGAGGUCAAUGAUGCCGAUGUAUUCAUUCUGACCGCAAGGUCUGCUCUUAAUCUUGCAUAUCAGAAUCUAUCCAGGGUCCCUGAAAAGCCAACCUGCUUAGCUGAGUUUUCUGGCAACGAUUUGAUUGGUUUGCCAUUAAAGUCUCCUCUUUCCUUCAAUGAAAUCAUAUAUGCGCUUCCCAUGCUCACUAUCUUAACGGAUAAAGGUACUGGCAUUGUGACUAGUGUUCCAAGCGAUUCGCCAGACGAUUUCAUGGCACUGCAAGCUUUAGUCACAAAGCCGGCAUUGAGAGCAAAAUUUGGAGUCAAAGACGAGUGGGUUCUUCCAUUUGAUAUUAUACCUAUAAUCGACAUUCCUGGAUUUGGAGACAAGUCAGCUGAGAAGGUGUGUGUUGAUCUUAAGAUUACGAGCCAAUAUGACAAGGAAAAACUUGCUGAUGCGAAAAGGAUGACAUAUCUUAAAGGGUUCACAGAAGGAGUGAUGGUUGUAGGGGAGUACAAUGGCAGAAAGGUUGAAGAAGCAAAGCCACUGAUUAAGAACAAGCUUUUGGAAGAAGGCUUGGCUGUUUUGUAUAGUGAGCCCGAGAAAAAGGUUAUGUCAAGAUCUGGUGAUGAGUGUGUCGUUGCUCUAACAGAUCAGUGGUACAUAACUUAUGGUGAGGUUGAAUGGAAGCAGAAGGCGGUCAAAUGUUUGAAGAACAUGAAUACAUUUUCAGCUGAAACUCGUACUGGAUUCGAGCAUACACUGGGCUGGCUGAACAAGUGGGCAUGCUCACGUUCUUUCGGCCUAGGUACUCGCAUUCCAUGGGAUGAGCAGUUCCUUGUAGAAUCUCUUUCUGAUUCAACCCUAUACAUGGCGUAUUACACGAUUUCACAUCUUCUACAAAACGGUGACAUUUAUGGAAAAGGAAGAUCUUCUAUUAGGCCAGAGCAAAUGACGGAUGAGGUAUGGGAUUAUGUUUUCUGUGAUGGCCCGGCACCCAAAAGCGACAUCCCUCCUGCCAUGUUGAGCAAAAUGAAUGAAGCAAGAAUAUGAGUACUGGUAUCCCUUGGAUAUUCGAGUUUCUGGUAAGGAGCUUAUCCAGAACCAUCUGACAUUCAGCAUUUACAAUCAUACAGCACUGCUUCCAGAGCACCAUUGGCCUCGUGGCUUCCGCUGCAAUGGACACCUUAUGCUUAACUCUGAGAAAAUGUCCAAGUCCACAGGGAAUUUCCAAACUCUUGGGCAGACCAUUAAAGAGUACUCUUCAGACGCCACCAGGUUUGCCCUUGCUGAUGCGGGUGAUGGUAUGGAUGAUGCAAAUUUUGUCACUGAAACUGCAAAAUCUGCCAUCAUGAGGCUUACAAAAGAAAUUGCAUGGAUGGAAGAGGUUAUAGCUGCUCAAUCUUCUCGGCGAUCUGGUCCUCCCUCUACUUACGCUGACCAUGUGUUUGCCAAUGAGAUCAACAUUGCUGUGAAAGAAACCGAGAAGAGCUACAAUUCCUUUAUGUUCAGAGAUGCCUUGAAGUCUGGGUUUUAUGACCUACAGUUGGCUAGAGAUGAGUACAGGCUCUCUUGUGGAGCGGCAGGCAUGAAUCGUGGUUUAUUGGUGCGGUUCAUGGAAGUUCAGACGAGGCUCAUCACUCCAAUUUGUCCACACUAUGCUGAACAUGUGUGGCAGAAUAUCCUAAGGAAGGUUUUGCAAUAAAGGCUGGAUGGCCUAUCGCAGACACUCCCAAUCCUACUCUAAGAAUUGCAAACAAGUAUUUACAGGAUUCAAUUGUUUUGAUGAGGAAGCUGCACCAGAAGCAAGGAUCUGGCUCCAAGAAACCCAAGAAGGGCGCGGCAAUGCCUCCAUCCGCAGAGAACAAGCUCACUGUUGGUCUCAUAUAUGUCAACGAGCACUAUGAUGGAUGGAAAGAGCAAUGCUUGAGGGUGCUUCAGUCGAACUAUGAUAGCCAAACACGUUUGUUUGCCCCUGACGAGGACAUUAAGGAAGCGCUGAAGAAUUGCUUCAUCGAACAUGAAGCAAACUUCACACAAGUCCAGAAGCUCUGCAUGCCUUUCAUCAGGUUCAAGAAAGAUGAAGCAAGGACCAUCGGUCCACAGGCUUUGAAUUUGAAGCUUUCCUUUGGUGAAAUGAACGUGCUUGAGGAGAACCUGGAGCUGAUCAAAAGGCAGCUGGAUCUUGAGCAUGCAGAGGUGCUGUCGGCAUCUGAUGGAGCUGCUCGUGCCAGAGCUGGACGGCAUGUUUCUGUGCUUAACAACAACCCACCUUCCCCUGGGGAGCCAGUUGCAAUAUUCAUGAGCAAGCAGGAGUUCGUUGCCCAAAACUAAGCUCAGCUUCAUCGAUGUAAGUUGUAGUUUUAGCUUGCCUGACAUAUUUGCAUCUUGGCCAUUUCAUGUUAGUCCUGAGUGUGAUUAUGAGAAUAGAUGUAAGUUGUAUUGCACUGUUGUGGCCUGAAACUGGUUCCUCCUUGUGAUGGUUUGCUCAACUGUUAAGGCUCAUUUUGCUUCUAGAUUAAUGUGCUUAGUCAGAUUACAUGCAUGUGUACACAAGCUCUGCUAUGCCUUUUGGCUGUACUGAAACCAAGUUCUGAAAUGUUCAGGAAAAACAAGUUCUGCACUGACAUCUCUGUCCAUUUACCAUUCCUUGUAUGUGAUGUGUAUGGGGCUUUUUAUCUGUCAUGGCAAUCCUGGUUAUAUGUAGCUUGGGAAAUCAUGUAUGUAUAUAAAUGAGUGAUUUGUGUUUAGGAUCUCAAGCACCAUUGUCAGCCUUAUUAAAGAUAGAAACGCUAUCGCCUGAUUUUGUUACUGCUGCAAUAGAAAUCUUGUCAGGCUCAUUCAAGAUGGCUAUUAGAUAACUCCAUGCCGGUACUGUUGUAACAGAGCAUGGGUCAGUAGCAUUGUUGUAGUUGCGCCUUACGUCGCAGGGUAAUUGGCUCAUAGUGCUGCUACCUUCGACGAACCAAAGCGUGCUAUUAUGCUCCAGAGAGGCGAAUAUCACUUCUGACACCGUGUGUUUGUUAUGUGAUGUAUGGAUUCGUCUGUUGCGACACUCCUGUCCUAUGUGCUACAGUAUAUUUUUGCGUGAGGUCAUGUAUGAAUUAUGAAAUGUGCUGAGGUUCUUCUUCCUUUGGAUGAAUAGGUGAGGAAAGGAAAGCUGGCGUGCUUGACGGUGUGAAGAUCCGAGAAGGUCGAGGAUUCAGAAAUGGUAAGCAUACUGUUUGAUGUGGCUGUUCAUUCUUCGAAUUCUUGAUACGCAAGAACUGAGGAAAUGCAGACCAUACUUGCACAUGUUGACACGUAGGACGCCUGCAGCCUGACAUGGCAUGUUAAUUUGGCAGGCAGGUUUCCUGUGUUUAGACUUGAAAAUUCUAUUUUGCCUCCUGUGAAUAUUACAAAGGAAUAGGUUGAUGCGUGAGAAGGGUUCUGAGCUCCAUGCUCUUGUGCAAGCUGAUUCCUGUCUAGCUUUCAGGCUUACCUGUGUAUACAAUUUGUUUUGAAACAAGGUGUAUAGAUUUUACAACUUGUCUCUGGAUGUGUGCUUGCGAAGGUACAGUAGAGAACCCGUGGGGUUUUUACUGGGAGGAUGUAACUCCCACUCUCCCAGCCCUGGAGGGCGCUUGUCACAAAGUGGUGCUUGAAACUUGAAGCUGCACUUGUUACUGACACUUGAAACAUCCUAGCUACCGUCAGUUCAAAAUGCUCUGCUAUUCUUAGUUUUUUUUUUACCCUUUUCCAACUGCUUGUUGGCCUAUUACCCAUUCCAAAUCAGUGGAGACCAUCAGUUACAGAACACCAAUUGUUAAUUUGUCAUGUCG
rnacentral:lncRNA from 1 species